GACCUACUUAACUCAGUGGUUAGAGUAUUGCUUUCAUACGGCGGGAGUCAUUGGUUCAAAUCCAAUAGUAGGUAAGGUGUAGGUAGAACUUAUUAGAUACCGUUGACUCGGAUAUCUAAUAAGUUCUACCUA
rnacentral:tRNA from 1 species